UACGAAGGGGGCUAGCGUUGCUCGGAUUGACUGGGCGUAAAGGGCGCGUAGGCGGUUCGUACAGUCAGACGUGAAAUUCCUGGGCUCAACCUGGGGGCUGCGUUUGAUACGUGCGGACUUGAGUGCGGAAGAGGGUCGUGGAAUUCCCAGUGUAGUGGUGAAAUGCGUAGAUAUCGGGAGGAACACCAGUGGCGAAGGCGGCUUCCUGGCCUGUUCUUGACGCUGAGGCGCGAAAGCUAGGGGAGCAAACGGG
rnacentral:rRNA from 1 species